GAUAAGGUUUCUAUUUCUUGAAUUUUGAAGAAGGGACCAGAUCCCAACAUAUAACGUGCAGCACUGAUUGCAGUCGCUUCAGUGAAACUUUAUAUCUUCGCUUUAUAUAUAUAUAAGGUGGGGCUGUUCUACAAACACUCUUAAGAAUCUUAUUCUGCUGACACUAAACCUUAUUCUGCUAACAGUUCCGCACUUCAAAAAUUCAUCGCGCGAACCACCGCUCAAACCCACCCCGAGCUUCAUCAACAAAAAAAUACGAGCACCAUCACACGGCCCACCCAUCCCCUCCAAGGCUCCAACCCCUCCUAAUCCACUCCACCUUCUUCCUCCUACCACGAUCUACUCGGAGCCCCACCCCACUACCCACCGCCGGAGCCUCGCCCCACCUAGGGCGGGUUUCUGUGUCCAUCCUUGCCUUCCACCAGUCCUGCCUCGCUCCGCCCCGUGCCUCCCCCACCACCACCUUCUCUUCAUCUCAGCGCCACCUAUCUUCACCAUUUGAUUCUUAGAUCCAUGGUCUCCUACCUCCUCCCCAUGCCACCUCCUCCCAUCACGCCACCACCUCUGGUGCCCCACCGCCCCACUCCCGCGCCCCAACCCCUCUCCCAUCACCAGCACAUCCCACCACCCUCCAACCACCGAAGCCCUGCAGGCCAUGGUGGGAUCUGACCGCCUCGGCCCCGGCGACCACCAUGCAUCGUCCCACCCGCCCCACACACUCAUCAGCGACCACCCCGCACCGCCUAGCUUGCAGCUCAUCCAGCAUCUGUCUACCCCGGAUCUGGUGCGGAUCCGUCGUCGCCAUUGGUGGUUGCUGUACUCUGGUGAUUUGCUCUUCUAGCGCGGAUCCGGGGCUCGUCGCUGUCGGCGGUUGCUGUUCCGACGUGGAUCCAUCGUCGCCCCGGCUAUGUCACACCUCCGGCGACCACGGGCCUCAUGGACACCCACCCCCUUCCCUCGCGUGAUCUCGUCCCUUGUUGAUGGGGAGGACCAAAUCGUGUCGCCUCCCUCCCUCCCCUCACCCCUUUCCCUGGAUCCACAUCACGCUUCUUGUCUCCAAAACGGGCAGCCGAGCUAGUGUCCGCUGGGAGGAGUACAAGGACGGCAACGGCAUCGUUGCUAUCGGACAGCCGGAGUCCUCCUCUUCCCCUUGUUCUCGUCCUUGUCUACAUCCAGGCGUGGCUAUCAGCGGUGGCCAGUGGGAACGUCGCGUGCAGCUCGCCCCACAGGGGCGACAAGUUCGUCCGAUGGGACAAUUAAUACUCGGUGGAAUCCAGUGACACAUGGCAUGCAGUUCACUCACUUCGUCGAGUGAUUCGGUAGGCAUAUUCUUGAAGUGGAGAGAGAUGGAGUCCACAGUAGUUCCCGAGCUAGUAGCAUGCAGUGCGCUACUGCGGUAAAAAAAAUGUCAAUUUGUUUCCCGGAGCUGUACAAUUGAAGUGCACUCGUUUUUAUAUUUUCUUCUGGAAAUAAGAAAUAGAAGAGAAGAUUGUUGUUCAUUUGAAGUUCAUUUUGUUGUUUUAAGAACUACAGGGAGAAUAAAGUAGUAAAAAAUAGAUCAGUUUGGUUAAAAAAAGGCAAUUCGUACUGGAAAACAGUGUAGUAUAUCCUACCUGCCCCCGCAGGUCAUUGUAUUUAUGUUUGAAUGAAGGAAUAAAAUUGCACCUUGCUUAAAAAA